CAGCGCUGAUAUGUUCAUGUACAGUACGUUAACAACAAUCUUAGUGAUUUAUUUAGUGUAAUGAUACUGUCUCUUUCCAUUAUAGCACCAGGUUUGUCCGCAAGUCAUAUAGCGCUGGUUUGCUUUAGUGCUCUGGCUGUGGCUGCAGUUUUGUGUGGUAUUUUCUAUUACUAUCACCACAGGAGGUCUAAACAAGCAGGCCAACCUGAUGGAGAAGAAAAUAUUGGGCUAACUAAUGGUGUAGUUAUUGGAAAUGCUGGGGACGCUAAUCGGCCGAACAUUGCAGAUGGAGAAACACCUGAUCAGGAGAGACAUUCACAAAACAGUAAGUUACUGUACAACUAGUCAAUUUUAAGGUUCCCAACUGACUUUAUUUGGCUGAUUCCAUUACAAAGAACAUUGCAUUUACAACAAUUUAUCCUAAGUAGGGAGUAACAUGAGAAAUAGUCAAUGCAAUCAGAUGCCUUAAAAACCUUUAAAAAGUUGUGGAAAGUCUGUGGCAGGGGCGUUUCCAAGGGAGGCAGUGUCUCCUCCAAAAAUUGGAUGAGAAAAUAAUCGAU